GACGAACGCUGGCGGCGGGCCUAACACAUGCAAGUCGAGCGAUAGGGUACCUUCGUGUAACCAAGACCGGCGCACGGGCGCGUAACGCGUAUACAAUCUGCCUUUCACUUAGGGAGAGCCCGAAGAAAUUUAGAUGAAUACCUAAUGGUAUAUAAGAGCGGCAUCGUUUUUAUAUUAAAGCUACGGUGGUGAUAGAUGAGUAUGCGUUGUAUUAGCUAGUUGGAGAGGUAACGGCUCCCCAAGGCGACGAUAGAUAGGGGUUCUGAGAGGGAUGUCCCCGAGACUGGUACUGGGAUACGGACCAGACUGCUACGGGAGGCAGCAGUGAGGAAGAUUGGAGAGUGGUCGGGAGCCUGAUCCAGCCAUGCCGCGUGCAGGAUGAACGUCCUAUGGAUUGUAAACUUCUUUUGUGAGGGAAGAAUAAGGAGUACGUGUACUUUGAUGACGGUACCUGACGAAUAAGCAUCGGCUAACUACGUG
rnacentral:rRNA from 1 species